UUCCUAUUUGCUGCUCUUGUAUGUAAACAACAAAUCAGCAAGAUUAAAUACCAAAUUGUCUGAGACUGUAGGAAGUGCAUUGGGAAACUGCGUGCUGUGCUGAGUCAUUAGAACCGGUACUAACCGGUGCCACGUGCAUAGUUGGUUCAUUUUAGUAGCAGAGGUUAUUCACUACAAGAUUUGUUACUAUUUGUCAAUCUUUUUCAUCAAAGCAACUGCACAUUUCACUUACUGCGUGAAGGAUUUUGCCCUCUGCCUGGGGGAACAACGGCAACUAGAGAUAUUCCCAUUGCUGUGUGUCUGUGGUGGAGUGGCACUCAUAAUAUUUUACAGGAUCCCUGUUAAAGACUCACAAGGACAAAACAGACGGUGAGCCCAGGCCAGAUGUUUUGUGGCCAAAUUCUCAGGAAAUCCUCUGCUCUGCUGUCAGUGCCGGCACACGGUUCAUUGUACUACGGCUUGUUGGUCAGCAGGUAUAUGGGACCGAAUGUUUGGUAACAUUAGUAUAUAGUCAUUGUACUGUGUAUAAUGUGUUAAAUACCCCUAAUUAUAUUCUGGUGGUACAAGGUGCCCAUAUGCCAGUAUUGUCAUCCCAGGAGACAGUGCCAUUUGUGGGCUGAAGAUAAUUUUUCCAAGUCAUAAGCAGCUACCAGUCACUCCUCAGGGUCCCUUUUUACCUAGACUAAAGUGAAUGCUCAUCUGCAGAAGUGGGGCAUGCUACAGUGUGACAGCAGAAUGUGGAGGAGACACACGCAUUGUUGCACUUAUUCAAAGGUGCGGAUACAGUAUAUUAUACAGUUGAGUGCAGUGCAUCCACCUUUUGUCUCAUUAGUUUACACACCCCUUUCAGAAAUUAAACAAAUAUAAGAAAUAAGAUCAUAUAUUAUUUAUUUCGUAAUGCCCCUCAGAAACUACAUAAUAGAUAUUUACAUUUAUGCCACAAGGCAAAAUAUUAACAGUCUACACAAAACAUCCUGUUCAAAAGUUUACAUCCCCGUGGUUCUUAUAUAGUGUGUUGCCUUCUUGAGCAACAAUGAGUGCUGCAAAUUUUGUAAUAGUUGUAAAAGUCCCUUAAUUGUCCUGUCAAAAUCUGUAUCUGGAUGUCAAGACCCUAUAGCCAAUGUUGGGAAGGAGUCAAAUGUGCAGAAGAUCCUGGGAAACCGAAGUGAGUGCAGUACCUAGAGGAUUUUCUUAGGAACAGUGGACAGCUUCAAUGCUCAGGACAAAGCAGGGACUCAUUCACAACAAGA